AAUAUUGGACAAUGGGGGCAACCCUGACCCAGCCAUGCCGCGGGUGUGAAGAAGGUCUCCGGAUUGUAAAGCACUUUACGUUGGGAGAAAGGGUUUUAGCCUAAUACCCUGAAGUUUUGCCGUACCCAACAGAAUAAGCACCGGCUACCUUCGUGCACGCAACCGCGGUAAUACGAUGGGUGUAAGCGUUAAUCGGAAUUACUGGGCGUAACGCGAGCGUGGGUGGUUCGUUAAGUUGGAAGCGAAAGCCACAGGCUUAACCUUGAAAUUGCUUUCAAAACUGACGAGCUAGAGUACGGUAGAGGGUAAUGGAAUUUCCUGUGUAGCGGUGAAAUGCGUAGAUGUAGGAAGGAGCAUCAGUGGCGAAGGCGAAUACCUGGACUGAUACUAACACUGAGGUGCGAAAGCGUGAGGAGCAAAC
rnacentral:rRNA from 1 species